UGACCGCGAACUGGAAUCGUGGAUAAAAUCGUGCGUACCAGGAAGCUGGAAGGCUUAAAAGAUCAACACUGACACUCAUCCGGAAGAGUAAUGAUUUCUGUUUUGAUUUUAUCUGCAUGAAAGCCAUGUGUGUUGCCCGACACGUAAUGGUUCAUUGUAAGGGCCAUCUCAUGUCUCAUUUGCAACAUUUCUGCAUCAUUAAUAAAUGGAUGUUUUUCAGUCAAAAAGCG
rnacentral:lncRNA from 1 species